rnacentral:tRNA from 1 species
AGUUAAUUAGCUUAUAUAAAAGCAUUUAUUUUGAAAGUAGAGAAAAGAAUGUAUUCUAUUAACUU